AACGGCAGCUGCGGGUAGCAGGAUUGAGGCCCAGGACCUGGGGCUGAGUGGGAAGUGGACUCAGCUCGUCUGUGCUCAGUUCUCCAAGAGCCACACCCACGGCCCCGAGGCUAGGAGUCUUGGUACCCAGGUAGCUGCAGGGGUCGAGCUCUGAAAACAGGCUAGUCCGGGCGCCUCAGCAGGCUGGGCGGCUUCUCCCUGUGAUUCACCGCCUCGGAGCGGGAGGAGGCUGUGGGCGAAGAUUGACAAAAGCAGGGUACGGGAGGUUGUAUUCUUGGUCUGAGGAAGGGCUUCUGGUAAGUGUCCAAACUGUACCACUUUUUUCCCCCCAGGGAUGGAACUCUGGUCCUUGCACUUGGGAGGCAGGUGAUAGCACCACUGAGCUAAAUCCCCAGCCCAAACUGUACCACUCUAAGCUUCCCACUCUGGGGUCCUGUGCAGCCUGUGCUUUCAGUGAGGACAGGGAUGAGUUCUGAGCCAGCCUGUUCUGUCAGUGGCAGUGGGGACCUUGGCUGCCAGUGGUUUCGAGAACAUGUGACUUCCCAUGGUGCUCUGGUGAGACCAAGUGCAUGGCUUGGUUUAGUUCCAAUGAGAAACAUCUCC
rnacentral:lncRNA from 1 species